AUGAAAUUUUAUUAAAAAAAAUGGGUGAAAAGAACAAAGUUUUGUCCAUCUUUGUUCAUCAUAGCCUAAAGUUAGAGAAGAGAAAGGAGAGGAGAACGCUUUUGAAUGUUCGGUCACUUGGGGAAGAAAAUUGAAGGCAGUUCGUGUGUGGAUCUCGUCAGCAUAUCGUCGCAAACAGGUAAUCCCCAACCAUAGUGGGCUUGGAGCUGUGAGGGAAUUCGGAGUGGCCACCCGUUUUGAAAGUUUGAUUUUCUUCUGGUGAACUGGACAUCCUUUUAAUUACGUUUGAGGUUUUGGACUUUUAAAUGUAAUAAGGACGCUUAUUUAUUUUUGAUGGUUUUUAUAUGUUUUAUUAAGAUAGGUAAUAUUUAUAUUUAACUGUUGAAA